rnacentral:rRNA from 1 species
GCAACCCACAUCCUUAGUUGCCAGCAGUUCGGCUGGGCACUCUAAGGAAACUGCCCGUGAUAAGCGGGAGGAAGGUGUGGAUGACGUCAAGUCCUCAUGGCCCUUACGGGUUGGGCUACACACGUGCUACAAUGGCAGUGACAAUGGGUUAAUCCCAAAAAACUGUCUCAGUUCGGAUUGUCGUCUGCAACUCGGCGGCAUGAAGUCGGAAUCGCUAGUAAUCGCGUACCAGCAUGACGCGGUGAAUACGUUCCCGGGCCUUGUACACACCGCCCGU